CCAAAGAGCCAAUGCUUGAUUGUCCAAUGAAACAGAUCACAUAUUAAAUCAGGUAACCAGAUCACAAGACUAGUGUCACAGGUCUUUUUUCGCAUUGCUAGAGGAAAUAAACAGAAAAUAUCAAAAACACAGCGCUUGGAAAGAACAUAAGAGCUCUUGAUAUCAAAUGUCACAUUAAAAAUGUCAAGCAUUACAACAUUUUACUGACGCAUAAAAAUAGAGCACGAUGGAAAAUGUACAACCCAGUCAGUCAAAGUGACAGAUAAUGAUUCUACCAAUCCUGAUACACAUCACAGGAACUCGCACACAAACUCUCACUAAAUCCCCUUCAAACCUUCUGUCUCCCAGUAUCCCGUUUCUAUUUCCGUCUCUAUUACAGUCGUGUGACAGAACGCUCACUUUACCACAGAGAGGAGAGAGUCUGCGGUAAUUAACUCUAAUUAGAAUAGCUCCCCUAACAAUACAAUUCCCUUUCAGAGAAAGAGCGAGUGUGUAAAUGGGCAGGAAAAGCGGGGCAGCUGUUGAUGUGUGUCCGGAGGUCAUUUCAAACUUCAUCUCCUGAGGUGGAAAACUGCCCUUUGUGGUAAAGAGAGGAUGAGUAUGUGGGUGUCUGGAGGACGGAUUCUCUCCAAAUGUCCAGACUUCCUUUGUCGUAAAUAAUUCCAGAGUGCAAUCUAUCAUAAAUAGAUUUGGUGCAGCAGAGGACGACUCUCACUUAUAGUGGGUGAAGGAAAGGAGACAUUGAGCUGCAACAAGGGCACAGUAAUGUGCUGGAUGAGAUCUUCAGCAACGAUGAAGCAAGGAAUGUCAUCGCUGCUGAGCCAUCGCUGAGAAAUGAACAAGAAGCACUGAAGCCUGAAUCCUGGCACACUGGCUUUCUAUCCUACAGUCACAGUCAUAUGCAGACGAGGCCAUUCCGGCUCCAGCGGGCAGCAGUCACCUGAAUUCACACUAUGAAUAAAGAUGGGAGAGAGAGGAAGGGAGAAGAAUACAGUGAGAGAUAUCAAGAGAGACAGCCACUUAAGCAGAGACUAAACUAUUUAACCGUUUCACCCAGCUUUGCUCAACUUGUCAGGCCUGGCUGACUCUGAUUGAGUGUGUAUGUGUAUGUGCACUGUGCUUUACAGUAUCAGAGACACAGCAGAUUAAGUAAUAGCCUACAAUAAUGCAUUCUGUAAAAUAUUAUUAAUAACAAAAAACUUCAGUAGAUCUAGAGUUGGACUAAAUCAAUUUCAGGAUUUCAGGCUUGAAGAGCAACACCUAUGGAUCUUAUUUAGUUUUGGUUUCAUUCUUUACCAGUGUUGCUUCUCUCAACUCUGUCCUCUCUUUCACCAAUCCAUCCAUUCUCCAAGGCCUUGCGCUCUCAGAUCUGCUUCUCCUCAUUCUGCCUCUCUCUCUCUCUCUGUCUCUCUCUCCCAGGAUCUUUAGGUUGAUUUAUUGCUUCUUGUUGGAAAGGUUGGCGUUUUAAUAACUCAAGUCCUCCACACCAGAACGAGAGAAAAAAAAGCUGGAAAAAACUUCUGUAAGC